AUUGAACGCUGGCGGCAGGCCUAACACAUGCAAGUCGAGCGGGGUUUUCGGACCUAGCGGCGGACGGGUGAGUAAUGCGUAGGAAGCUGCCCGAUAGAGGGGGAUACCAGUUGGAAACGACUGUUAAUACCGCAUAAUGUCUACGGACCAAAGUGUGGGACCUUCGGGCCACAUGCUAUCGGAUGCGCCUACGUGGGAUUAGCUAGUUGGUGAGGUAAUGGCUCACCAAGGCGACGAUCUCUAGCUGGUUUGAGAGGAUGAUCAGCCACACUGGAACGGAGACACGGUCCAGACUCCUACGGGAGGCAGCAGUGGGGAAUAUUGGACAAUGGGCGCAAGCCUGAUCCAGCCAUGCCGCGUGUGUGAAGAAGGCCUUCGGGUUGUAAAGCACUUUCAGCGAGGAGGAAGGGGUGUGUGUUAAUAGUACACACCUUUGACGUUACUCGCAGAAGAAGCACCGGCUAACCCUGUGCCAGCCGCCGCAGUAAGAC
rnacentral:rRNA from 1 species